rnacentral:lncRNA from 1 species
UGUUGGCAGACUCUGUUGCAGAGAUAGGGGGUGUCUACAUCAGCUGGACUGGUCGACUAGUUCACAUCCAUAGCAAGUCUAGGGUUCGCAGUCUACUUAGAACAGUCUGAAGUCAGCAACUGGUCUUCCAGAAGCAGAAACCUGUUUAAGACAUGUUUAAACUGGGAACAGACGUUAAAACUUAUUUACUGUAGCCCACAGUGCAGAAAAAGCAGAUAUCUGGAUAUCUGUUCAAACAGCAGGAACAUAUUUAUAACUUUGAGUCCUAGCAAAAAUACAGAUUUGGUCUAGAAGCA